UUUCAGAACACUUUAAAAUAAAAAAAUUAUAAUAAUAAUAAUUUUCCACCAUGGCUCUUCACUGCUCAUUCUUGGAAAUGAUAUUCAUGAGAACCACUGCCUGGUCAUUUCUGCUCAUUUUCUUUUUCCCUGCGCUGCUCAGAUGUAUAUUAAUUAUAACAACUAUAAUGGCACCAAGCCCUUACAUAUAGUCUAUAUGGUAAGUUUGGUCAUAUAGACAUGGUAAAGUACCUGUUGGCGAAUGGAGCCUCCUUUCAGGUGGAGGAACCAUUUUUGAAACAUCCCAUUGCAGCUGGUCAUCAAAAACAGGUACAGUUCUGGGAUUUGCAAGGAGUCACAGUCAGGUAUAAGAUAUGUGAAGAAAACGUUGGCCUUCUCCUUCUCCUUGCAUUUAACAUUCAGUUCAGUUAUGUUUGGUGGACUGCAGUGUUAAGCAUUUUCUUCUGUCUUGGCAAGUAGUGCAGUGCUUUCACUGGUUACUUUCCUUAUUCUGUCAAGCGCUCAGCUCAUUAGUGAAAUCAAUUGUUAUUGUGCUGUGGUGCAAAUACUUGUAGUCACAUUGCCUCCUUUGAUGGCUUAGUUGAGCACACCAGAGGAGGGGUGAGUGUGCAAGUGUAGAGCAACAUGACUGCUCAGUUCUGUGAUUUCAUUGCUUUAGUAUUUUCUGAUUCAGGUCAUUAAGAGCUUACAAAUUAGCCAAUGGGUGAAAUCAUGCAUGUUACUCCAGGGGAAAAAGCCAGAUUCUGCAGCUUUAAAGUUAUUAGACAUGUAUGAAUGAAAAAAAGAAGAACAAAAAUCCAGUGCAGUGUAACUAUAACUGGAUUGGGCUUUUACAACACAUUGUCCAUCCACACAAAAUUCACAUAAACGGACCAUGGCUAUUGCUUGACUUAAUAUUAUUAUUAUUAUUAUUAUUAUUAUCGAAAAUCUAUCAAACCACAUUCAGAUUGAAGCACAUUCAUAGUCUCGUUGUUUAGGUAGAGAAGGUUUUCUAUGACAGGGAAUCUUCCCAGAGGACUUUAGUUCUGCUAGUUUUUCCAAAUGCAAGCUGUAACAUUAUCCAUGAGGAAGAAAGACUUCCCCACAGGAUCUGCAGGCCUAUCUAAUCUAACAUUCAUGACUCCACCAUCAGAAAGAUGAAGGGGAAAAACAGAAUUCUUGGCAGAGUCACCAGACGGAAACCUGGGUCAUGCAGCAAGACACUGAUAUUAGGGAGAAAGAGAUACCAAUUAAAAGCUAUGAAAGGCCAUUCCUGCCAAGUUCCUGAUAGUAGUCUUGAAAAGUUUGAAAUAGCCUCUCGGAAUGACGGCAUACGAUGGUCUAAGUAAAAACGUAUUAACUUAAUGUGUCAAAACAAUGACUUAUUUCUUCUCCAGCUAUUCACUAUUGACAUUUAGAGAACAAAAAAGUAAUUAGUUCAAUGCAUUACAUUUUUUUUUUAUGCACUGUCAUGGUUUUGACAUAGUAAAUCAUUGUUUUGAGAUACUGUAUUGAAAUAUUGAACUAUUGCUAGAAACGAAGUAUAGUAAACUAUUCCUCCAGUACCCAACGAAUCAGAAUUGGUCAAGGAGCAAAACAUUUACUUGUAAAGGCUGUUCAGUUAUUCUGCUUUAGAUUAGAGUAGAAUGAACGGAUUGUUUACACGAACAUGAAAAAAACAGAAAAUCCGACAUGGCACACAGCAGUAAGAGAUUUUAAGAGAUUAGAAAGUCCACAGUCCAGUAGGAUGCUUUAAUCCCUUUAAACUGCUUGAAUCAGGGAACUGUGUUUUUGUCAAGGAAAAUGUUGCAGUCUAAAGUGACCUUUUAAAAAAAAUGGAAAUAUUAUCACUUAUCAAGUCAGAUAACUUAUGACUCCCUCUCUGACUGUGUAAAACUUUUGACCGUUACUGUCAAGGGGAACUAAGAGGAACUUUUUUUAACACACCAGCCACUGUGAUGGUGUGAAGGUGCGGUGCAUGAAAGGCAGCUGUGUGAAAAUGCGGUGCGAGUUGCCAUGGAGAUGAUCCAGUAAGCAUUUCUUCUCUUCUGUUUAGGACAGUGUCUUUGCUGGGCAGUGAAUUUUCCUUCAGACUGUUGUAUGUCAUUGCUGAAUUGGUGUUUUCUUCUCUCCUCUAACCCACAGGGCAGUUGCAAACAAGGAUUCUGAAAUGCUACAUGUCUGGUUCUUGUCAGGGGUGGACAUGUACAGAAAAAGAUGUGUUUUGGCUGCUGAACCCUCUCUUCAGCUUGUCCAUCCACAGAAGAAGAAAUAAGGAAUCAACUCCCUCUCAUACUGUUUCUCUCAUCUCUCUAAUCUUCCAGUUCUACAGUGUGAAUCUGUGCUAUUCUUUCUCAGCUCCAUGUUCAUAUUGUUCCCUGUUGACUCUUCAUUUGUACAUUGAUUGAUUAGCUCAUACUGAUUUAUUGUGUUGUGGGUUUUAUUGUCAGACCAAAGUGGUUUUCAAAGUAAAUGUUUAAAAAAUACACAAAAAUACAACCGUCCAGUUAGUGUAAGCUUGAAUGGGAUUCAUUAAUAACACUUCAUGAAUGAAAAACA